CCUGCCACCCGCAACCCUCCCAUCUGCUCCCUCUCCCAUUCCAUUCAAGAUGCAUUUUCAAUUAUCUUUAUAUAUGGAAGAUUGAUUUAGUAUAUAUUAAGCAAAGAUUUCAUCAGUUUGCAUCCACACAGAACAUAAAGUGUAAAGUACUGUUUGAGUACUAGUUAUAGCAUUAAUUCACAUUGGACAACACAUUAAGGACAGAGAUCCUUAAUGUAAGUAAGUAAGUAAGAGGAGGAGUAAGUACACAGUGACUCCUGUUGUUGACUUAACAAUUUGACACUCUUGUUUGUGGCGUCAGUAAUCUCCCUAGGCUCUAGUGAUGAGUUUCCAAGGCUAUGGAAGCCUUUUUUUUUUUUUUUGACAGGCAGAGUGGACAGUGAGAGAGAGAGACAGGGAGAAAGGUCUUCCUUUGCCGUUGGUUCACCCUCCAAUGGCCACCGAGCCAGCGCGCUGCGGCCGGCGCACCGUGCUGAUCCGAUGGCAGGAGCCAGGAGCCAGGUGCUUUUCCUGGUCUCCCAUGGGGUGCAGGGCCCAAGCACCUGGGCCAUCCUCCACUGCACUCCCUGGCCACAGCAGAGAGCUGGCCUGGAAGAGGGGCAACCGGGACAGAAUCCGGCGCCCUGACUGGGACUAGAACCCGGUGUGCCGGCGCCGCUAGGCGGAGGAUUAGCCUAGUGAGCCGCGGCGCCGGCCUUGGAAGCCUUUUGAGUUCACUGACUUCAAUCUUAUUUAGACAAGGUCAUAGUCAAAGUGGAAGUUCUCUCCCCUUCAGAGAAAGGUACCUCCUUCAUUGAAAAACUGAGGAAAUCUCCAACUAAAUGCAAACUGUAAAAAUAGAAAAGUUGAAACAAGGAAAAUUAUAAUCAAAGAUGGGUUAAAAAUGUCAAAGAUCAGAUUUCAAAAUUCAAAGAUAAAAAUUUCUUGUGAGUCUUUUCCUAUCAGAAAACCUGGUUGUUUUGACUUUAACAUUUAACAUUAACAAAUUCUAACUUCAUAACAAUAUGCCUUUGACAUUAAUACUUAAUUUAUAGAAACUCAUAUGGCCAAUUCCAUGGUAACAUCAGCCAAUGUUAUUUCACACAGGAUCCAUCUUUCACAAAACUAGAAUAUUUUAUAUUUCUCUCAGCUGAUUGUCCUGUUCUGUUCCUUUUUCCUUGCCAACACCAUUUUACUUUAGGACAAAUAUUACUCACUUUUCCCCUUAAUCAAAACACAUCAUUUAUAUUCCAUAACUUCAUGCAUGUCUGUCUAUGACAAAGAGAUUUUUAAACUUUUCUCUUAAUAUUGAGUGUCAUAUAUUUGUUAGAAUUAUUCCUUAAUCUUAGUUACUCAAUAUCUAGUUAAAGCUUAGUAAACAAUGUUAAAUUGACAUAUUUUAAUAAUUUAUGAUAGCAGCUACUUAUCAGCCCAGUGCUUUUUAUGGAAUUUAAGAUGUCAAAUUUACAUUUAGAAAUAUUUUCCUUCUUCAUAGUUACCUAACUAAGUUUUAACAAUUAUACUUAGAUUUAAGAAACCAAACUAUUAGACAAGCAUGGUUGGGCCAUUUUCUUGACAAAAAGAACUCUAAAAACUGAAUUUUACUUCAUAUAUAUGAAGCAGUGAACACUGUACCAUACAUGUUUGGUUUUAAGUCAAAAUUACACCUUUAUUAUUUUAAAUGUCUACCAAAAAUAAGUAACAUUUGCUUGACUAGCAGACCUAGGCACAGACAUAUGUUAAUAACUCUGAAAACAUUUUUAUUUUGUUUUUACAAAAAAAUUAUUUGAAAGGCAGAGUUAUGCGGUGGUGUGAAAGAAAAGAGUACAAGUAUGGGCCAGGGCUGGGCCACACAAAAGCUAGUAGCUGGAAAAUCUUGGUCUCCCACUUGGUUGGCACCCAACUAGUUGGGACAUACCCAUUGCCUUCUCAGGCCCAUUAGCAGGAACCCAAAUCAGUAGUACAGAGUUGCUGGGAAUUCAUCUGGCACUCAAUUAUGGCUGCAGACAUUGCAAGUGAUGGCUUUAUCCAUCACACUAUGCCUACUCCUUUACCAACAAAUUUCAGACAACCUAGUCUACCACAGAUUUAUUUAAGGCAUGGGCCCCAAGAGUACUUAGAUUAGUUUCUUUAUGUGAGUACACAUUUGUCCAUGUGCCAAAUUAUCAGAAAUAGUAAGGGUAUUUUACAUUACAGACACAACUAGUACCAUGUACAAAUGUGUAACACACACACAGUUCUCACCCUACAAAAUCACAUACCCAACAUGAACAAUCACUUACAACGAAUCAAUUGAUGUGGCCCAUGGGACACAUUCCCCUCCUCUGCUAUAGAUGGGUUCCUCUAGGUCCUGGUGCAGCUUCUCAAUUUCACCAAGAUGCUCUUCCCACAGGUCAGCCCCUGCAACCAUCCCACCAGGACAGAGAAAUGGGAGAGAGAAAAUGCUGGUUACUACUUUGCCAGAAGAAUGGACUUUGCCAGCAGCCCCUCAGCAAGAUCACUAUCCUCCUGCCAAUCCCUUUGUCUCCUCAUACAGGCACCCAGAGGACUUUGGUUAACUUUGGCCCAAGAGUAAAUGAGCUUUCAAAACCAGAGAGCCUCCUACUAAGAAAAUCCCAUGGACCUCCUCCCACACAGUUGUCUGCUAUGUGAGAGUUCCAUGUUUUAGAAAAAUAACAGAAAGAUUCAAGAUAGGACCUACCUAGCAUCUGGAAAGCUAUGGCCACCUUCUGUAUGUGACUUUCAGGAUGACAGAGACAGCCUCACUUGACCUGUCUUCUAAUAUUACCUUUCAUUUUACUGAUACACAACUUAACAUCUUUAGAAAGGACAAAUCCUUUUGUAAAACCCUUAUAGAGAAGCUUAAUGUAAAAGUACAUUAUCUUCAACACAUCCUACAUGGUUAGUUGCUGAUAAUGGAUGCAUCAGACAGCCAGCAUUAGUCCAUGGGUCUGCAGGUGGGUUACAGGAGGAAGGAGAACCUCCAAGGAAAGAAAAGGAUUCAGAAAAACAGGAGGAAGGCUAAUGAAAGGUUACAUUACCCGCACAUUUCUUUUCUGAAAACUACAAUUGUCUUUCUCUUGGAACUGAGCUGCAUCACAGUAUUUGCCUGCCUAGAGAUACCUGCCCACUUGAGCACUGAGGCCUCAGGCAUGGAGAAUUAAAGGAUGUACUUAGAAAGUACCAAGUGUGUGUGCAGCCCUUUCACUUCAUACCCACUCUGUGAGAAGGCACCAGAAAGGGAAUGGAAAACAGCCCGCCCAGAAAGGAAAAUAAGUCAAGUCUUUGUACAAAGAAGACAAAACUGAAGCUACACCAAAGUCAAAUUUAAGGUGGGUUUAAACCUCACUAAAAAGAAGAGAAUUGUUGUGUCAUAAUUUUGCUUAAAUAAAUGGAUAGACAUAAUGGAUUUCUCCUAUUAUUUUUUCACACUUGAUGUUAUAGUUAGUUCUAAGUCCAUUUCUAAGUAAUUUAGCCUUUAUUUGUUAAGUAUAAAUUAACUAUUCAGUUGAGAUGAUAAAGCAGAUUUUGUGGAAUAUAGUAUUAUAUGCCAGAAACUUAUAUCUAAAAUGACUAUUAUAGGCUAUUUCUGAAGGAAAGUCAGAUUUACACCUUGUGGUGCAAUCCCCCUAUAAAAGCAAUAUACAUAGGGGAGCUCAUAUCAAGCUAUUACUUUAGCCCUGACAGUAUAAACCCAUAUUAUCACUCAUGAAACUUGUGACCAUUUGUUUCAAUGAUAGCAAAAUCACACCAAAUAAAAAGCAUUACUUUUUUGAAAUUUUAUAGAAGUUACACAAAUUUCAUGCAUUUCUUAUGUACAGAUUUAGGAACAUAGUGAUACAUCCCAUGCAAACCUCCUAAUACCCAAGACCAACCCUUCUUCUUCCUCCCUCUUCCAUCCCCAUUCUUAAUUUUUACAAACAUCUACUUUCAGUUUACUUAGUUAUCAUAAGUUGUAGCCUUCAUUAAGUAGAAAUUAAUGAUAAUCAGUUUAAUUUCUAAUAAGUUUGUAUCUUUUAACUGCACAGUUGAGGUCAUUUACAUUCAAGGUGAGUGAUGAUAAAUAAUGACUUGCCCUUCCAUUUUUUGAUAAAUAUUCCUAUUGUUAAAUUUGGAUUUCUUUUGUACUUCUACUAGGGGAUUUUCUGCCAUCUCAUUCUUUCACAAUUAUGGAUAUCAUUCUGUGUUUCUGUGUGUAGCAUUUCCUGAAGCAUCUUUUGAAAGGCUAGAUGAGUGGCAACAACUUCUUUCAAUUUCUGUUUGGUGUAGAGAAUCUUUAUUUCACCUUCAUUCAUAAGUGAGAGCUUUGCUUGGGUACAGUAUUCAGAAUUGAAAGCUUUUUUUUUUCUUUGUAGACUUGCACUAUAUUUCUCCCUUCCCUCCUAGCCUGUAGGGUUUCUGAUGAGAAGUCAGCUGUGAGUCCAGUUGGAGAUCCUCUAGAAGUAAUCUGGCAUUUCUCUCUUGAAUAUUUGAGAAUCUUUCCUUUAUGUUUUAUUGUGAAAAUUUAGACUACAAUGUGUCAUAGUGACAUUUUUUUCUGGUCAUGUCUGUUAGGGGCUCAGUGUGCUUCCUGUACUUGGACAUCCCACUCUUUCCCCAAAUUGGUGAAGUUUUUGUAAACAUUUUACUAAAUAAUCCAUCUAGUCCAUUCUCUCUUUACACACCUUCAGGAAAUCCUAAGACCUGGAUGUUGGGUCCUUUGAUAAUAUCCCAUAGGUCUCCAAAGCUAUUUUUACAUUUUCUAUUUUUAUCUUGUUAUGCUUUUAUUUU